rnacentral:lncRNA from 1 species
CCGACUGAAGGGUUUAAUGAAAGCACAGGAGUUGCAGACUGACUCAGUCCCCUUUGUGUACAAAAGAUACACCCGGGUCUAGUCCUGGCCUCAGCAGCUUCUGGGAAAAGAUGGGGAGAGACACAGUCACCAGGGGACGGGGCUCUGUCAGUGGCUGCAGAGGAAGAUCGCUCAGGAACUUGCUUCUUGGGGUAACAAAGAUCAGGCCGGUGAGAUACGAGUCUUCCUGCUCCCCAGGCCUGGCUGACCCCUGCCUGUCUCCACAGUCAGCAGCACGUUCCUUCCCUUCAAGGACCGACCCUCCACAGCGGUUCCACCAGUGAAGUCAGGCUGCAGGUGGUGGGUGAGACCUGGGAGCUGUUGGUGGGGUGUUAUUUGUCUCCCAUUAGACAAAAAAAUAAAUGUAUUCUUUGAGAAUUUCA